ACCUAGGCACACAGAGGCGAGGAAUCAAGAGUGAAUUC
rnacentral:rRNA from 1 species